UCUGUGCUAUUACUUUUUCCUUCCUGUUCCACGUUUCGUUUAUACGUAAAUAACCUCAAAUUAUUGUUAAUCAUGUUGGAUACACUGUGUCUGUGAGAAAUUUCUCUGGCUUGUUCGACGGGCCACGGCGUCAUCUUUUAUUCUGUCACAAACAAAUUUGUUCCUGAAUCGAGCUGAACUCUCUGUUCCGCUCCGAAUUUUCUCACCUUUGAUUUGUCGUUAGCCCGAUUAUGAGGGCUAAAUGGCGUAAGAAGCGUAUGCGUAGGUUGAAGCGCAAGAGGAGGAAGAUGCGUGCAAGGUCCAAGUAAACCUCGUGGCCCGCACCGGACAUACUAUCAUGUUUUGGUAAACAUUAAGCGAUUAUGAAACUUUUAUAUUGAUUCAUCUAAACAGUAAUAAACUCUUUCUGUUCAACAUAUAAA